CUCUUCUUGAUUUAUUAAUUUGAAGUAUAACCUGCCCACUGAUAUAAAUUUUUGAAGGGCCGCGGUAUUUUGACCGUGCAAAGGUAGCAUAAUCAUUAGUCUUUUAAUUGAAGACUGGAAUGAAUGGUUGGACGAAAAAUAAACUGUUUCUUAAAUAUUAAUUUGAAUUUAAAUUUUAAGUUAAAAUGCUUAACUUUUUUUAUGGGACGAGAAGACCCUAUAGAGUUUAAUAUUUUUUAUUAUUAUUUUGUUUGUUAUAAAAUUUUAUUUUAAUUUUUAUUUUGUUGGGGUGAUGGGAAGAAUUAAUAAACUCUUCUUUUUUUUAUAUAUUUAUAUAUAAUUUUUUGAUCCAUUUUUGAUGAUUAUAAGACUAAAUUACCUUAGGGAUAACAGCGUAAUCUUUUUUGAGAGUUCUUAUCAAUAAAUGGGUUUGCGACCUCGAUGUUGGAUUAAGAUUUAAUUUGGGUGUAGCAUUUCAAUUGUUUAGGUCUGUUCGACCUUUAAAAUCUUACA
rnacentral:rRNA from 1 species